rnacentral:rRNA from 1 species
UACAGAGGUCUCAAGCGUUGUUCGGAUUCAUUGGGCGUAAAGGGUGCGUAGGCGGCGCGGUAAGUCGGGUGUGAAAUCUCGGAGCUUAACUCCGAAACUGCAUUCGAUACUGCCGUGCUUGAGGACUGGAGAGGAGACUGGAAUUUACGGUGUAGCGGUGAAAUGCGUAGAUAUCGUAAGGAAGACCAGUGGCGAAGGCGGGUUUCUGGACAGUUCCUGACGCUGAGGCACGAAGGUCAGGGGAGCAAACGGG